GUUAGGAAUCUUCGGCAAUGGGGGAAACCCUGACCGAGCGACACUGCGUGGAGGAUGAAGGUUUUCGGAUCGUAAACUCCUGAACGAGGGACGAAAAAUGACGGUACCUCGCUAAUAGCACCGGCUAACUCCGUGCCAGCAGCCGCGGUAAUACGGAGGGUGCAAGCGUUAUCCGGAAUCACUGGGCGUAAAGGGCGCGUAGGCGGUUUGUUAAGUCCGAUGUUAAAGCGUGAGGCUCAACCUCAUCACGGCGUUGGAUACUGGCGAGCUGGACGGUUGGAGAGGAAGGUAGAAUUACCAGUGUAGCGGUGGAAUGCGUAGAUACUGGUAGGAAUACCCAUUGCGAAGGCAGCCUUCUGGACAACACGUGACGCUGAGGCGCGAAAGUGUGGGGAGCAAACCGGAUUAGAUACCCGGGUAGUCCACACCCUAAACGAUGCAUACUUGGUGUCGGCCCGUUGGGGUCGGUGCCGGAGUUAACGCGUUAAGUAUGCCGCCUGGGAAGUACGGCCGCAAGGU
rnacentral:rRNA from 1 species